AGGUAGCUUGCACCUUUCAAGUGAGUGGCGAACGGGUGAGUAACACGUGGACAACCUGCCUCAAGGCUGGGGAUAACAUUUGGAAACAGAUGCUAAUACCGAAUAAAACUUAGUGUCGCAUGACAAAAAGUUAAAAGGCGCUUCGGCGUCACCUAGAGAUGGAUCCGCGGUGCAUUAGUUAGUUGGUGGGGUAAAGGCCUACCAAGACAAUGAUGCAUAGCCGAGUUGAGAGACUGAUCGGCCACAUUGGGACUGAGACACGGCCCAAACUCCUACGGGAGGCUGCAGUAGGGAAUCUUCCACAAUGGGCGAAAGCCUGAUGGAGCAACGCCGCGUGUGUGAUGAAGGCUUUCGGGUCGUAAAGCACUGUUGUAUGGGAAGAACAGCUAGAAUAGGAAAUGAUUUUAGUUUGACGGUACCAUACCAGAAAGGGACGGCUAAAUACGUGCCAGCAGCCGCGGUAAUACGUAUGUCCCGAGCGUUAUCCGGAUUUAUUGGGCGUAAAGCGAGCGCAGACGGUUUAUUAAGUCUGAUGUGAAAGCCCGGAGCUCAACUCCGGAAUGGCAUUGGAAACUGGUUAACUUGAGUGCAGUAGAGGUAAGUGGAACUCCAUGUGUAGCGGUGGAAUGCGUAGAUAUAUGGAAGAACACCAGUGGCGAAGGCGGCUUACUGGACUGCAACUGACGUUGAGGCUCGAAAGUGUGGGUAGCAAACAGGAUUAGAUACCCUGGUAGUCCACACCGUAAACGAUGAACACUAGGUGUUAGGAGGUUUCCGCCUCUUAGUGCCGAAGCUAACGCAUUAAGUGUUCCGCCUGGGGAGUACGACCGCAAGGUUGAAACUCAAAGGAAUUGACGGGGACCCGCACAAGCGGUGGAGCAUGUGGUUUAAUUCGAAGCAACGCGAAGAACCUUACCAGGUCUUGACAUCCUUUGAAGCUUUAGAAGAUAGAAGUGUUCUCUUCGGAGACAAAGUGACAGGUGGUGCAUGGUCGUCGUCAGCUCGU
rnacentral:rRNA from 1 species